rnacentral:misc_RNA from 1 species
UAUAGCUGCAAGCACUGCAGAACCCAUCUGGCUCUUUAUGAAGAUAUUGUUUCAAAGUCCUUCCAGUGCAGGUAUGGGAAAGCUUAUCUCUUCAACAAGGUAGCGAAUGUCUUUGUGGGAGUGAAAGAAGAGAGAUUGAUGAUGACUGGGUUGCAUACUGUUGCUGAUAUUUUCUGUGUUGGAUGUGGAUCGAUUGUGGGUUGGAAAUACGAGACUGCCUGUGAAAAGAGCCAAAAGUACAAGGAAGGAAAAUCUGUUCUCGA